AAUUUUUUUACACUGGAAUCGACUUUAAGAUGGAAUAUCGCUAGCUAGAAGUAAAUGUUAAUAUAAAGACAUGCAAAAUUGGGUGCCGCCAUUAUUAGAGGUUGUUUCCAAGUACAUUUUACAUCACAAAAUACUUUUAUAUGUCC